AUUCAAAACGAAUAAUCAGCUUAUGAAAAAGAAGCGGUCACACGUUUAAAAAACAUAGACUCACAUGCAGGGUAUUCCUGCCCUAACUACUCACUCUAUAAAGCCCAAGAUAUUUUCUGAGGUUUAGUUGAUUCCGAUAUUUGGAGCUUAAACCCUAGCCGCUUCACUACUCUUCCUCUCUUCGGGAACAUUGAAGGCGUGAAGUUUGGUUAAGAAUCAUCAUGGCAUUGUGUAACAAGCUUGGAAAUUUCUUGAGACAGAGUGCUUCCGGAAGCGGAUUAGCACCUGCUCCAUCAAUGCUCAAUUAUAUUCGCUGCAUGUCCUCAAGCAGGCUUUUCAUUGGGGGCCUUUCAUACGGAGUUGAUGACCAGUCUCUUCGGGAUGCAUUCUCUGGCUUUGGGGAUGUGGUUGAUGCAAGGGUGGUCACUGAUAGAGACACCGGAAGAUCAAGAGGUUUUGGAUUUGUCAACUUCUCAAGCGACGAGUCUGCAAGCUCAGCACUCAGUGGAAUGGAUGGGCAGGAUCUAAACGGCCGAGUGAUCAGGGUGAGCUAUGCUAAUGAUAGGCCUACUGGACCUCGGGGUGGUGGCGGUGGUUUCGGUGGUGGUGGUGGUGGUGGUUACGCGGGAGGUGGUUACCGUAGAGGUGGAGGUGGUGGUUAUGGUGAUCCAGACUUCUAGAUCACAGUGCCCCUCUGCAUGUUUACAGUUCUUUGGGUUGUGUCUCAAACUUAAACUAAGAUUGCUCAGGGAAGAGAUGAAGUGAUAUGAUACAUUCAACCAUUUAGAGAAUUCUUGAGCAUAAUUUCGCCCUAUGUUGCCAUGUUGGCAAUAAAAAUCUCGAUUCCAAUUUAAUAAUAGUGGAGGAUAUAGAUUAUCCCAGGAUAUUUGGAAAUAUAAUAGUAGGUUACGUAUGAUUUGUUAUAUUUAUUUGUAAAGAUU